UACAGCCAUGUCAGGUUGAAACACCUGCGCUCGUAGGUAUCAUCGAAGUUAAGUAACAUAGAGCUUGAUCAGUACCUAGAUGGGUGACCGCUUGGGAAAAUCAGGGGCUGUAAU